GAGAUGAGCAGUGGCUCCAAUUCAUCUGGAGAAGACAGCAAUUGGAUCUCAGCACCAAAAUUGGAUUGGCCCUCAACACAGAGCCCUAAUCUCUGCUCAGAGUGCAUCCGCAGCUCAGCCCAUCUAGAGAAAUGAACAGGUUUGCCAAGAAGGUUCCUGCAGGUGUUUUGUGCUCCAGGAAGAAAGAAGAUAUAAGCAGGGCAGUCUUACAGCACAAACGUGAUAAUUUUUUGUUACUGCUGCACAGAGGUGGUCAUACAUUGUAGGUUGAAAUAAAAGGAGUCACAGAAAAUAUAACAGACC
rnacentral:lncRNA from 1 species